GCCAGCGACUAGGAACAAACCUUCGUCUUUCUUAACUUUUCGAAUGACAUCAAGCUCUGCAUAGCUGUUGAAGAGUGGCCACCAUCUUGUUUUUCCAAGAACUGAAAGUGGAUCCAUGGAUUUAGGAAUUGUCGUUUCUGAACCAAGACUGCUCCUAACACACCACACAAGUGUUCCAGAGCUGAGGAGUUUCCUAGAACACAGGACUGUGAGACUGAACACCAGGAAAUCCUGAGAGAAUGAGGCUGAGCCAGCCAUCCUAACUGCCAAUCCUUCAGCAAGCUCAGGAUGACCAGAGAAAGUGGCCUGGAGUUUCCUUGGAGGCUUUUUUGGUCCCAUUUGUGAGAUUGAUGUUGCCCUUAACGAUGGGGAAACCAGGAAAAUGGCAGAAAUGAAAACUGAAGAUGGCAAAGUAGAAAAACACUAUUUCUUUUACGAUGGAGAAUCUGUUUCAGGAAAGCAGAUCAUCCUGUGGAGAAAAGCAUCCGAAAAACUGAGGAAACAGAGGACAAAUUUUCACCAGCGAUUUGAAUCUCCGGAAUCACAGGCAUCGGCAGAACAGCUUGAGAUGUAAGCCAAAUAGGACAGAGAGCAAGAACAGGAACUGUAGCCAAGAGGUGAACUCAGCAGGUUAAAGAUGGUCACAGCGUGGGGAAAGUCCGACUCCAUGUCUGCCAGUCUUCCUUAUCCUGAAGUGCUGCGUUUAUUUUACAGGAUGAUAAAGGUUCUCUGUGUACAUACAUUUUAAAAAGUGCUUUCUUGGAAACACUGGAGAAUUCUUAAGCUGCCUUUUUUGUUUUCUUUUUUACUGCACACUGAUAAGCACUCAGAUGCGUCAGCAUAAACAUUAAAGAUCUCUAUGUGUGUAGGCUGGUAUUUGUAGUUUUGCUUUCCUUAUGCAUAAUGUUGAAAAUCUUUCUUUUUCAUGCUAAUGAUUACCUCUUAUUCACUAUGUGCAAAAAAUAAACAUUUUGUUCAAAUAAAAUGAGAAAACCUGA